UUAUCGAAUAGAAAAUGACUUAACAUAGUCAAAAUCACAAGCAUAUGUUAAUAUUUUCCUUUUGGGCAAUGGACAUGUAACACAAGAAGCAUUCCUUCUAUGCCAGUGGAUUCCAGACUAUUUUCCUCAAAGUGCAGAAGAUAACGUUUGUCAUGAAAUCACCUAUUAGACUAUUCAUCAAAGAAGGAGCAUGAACAUAUUUACUUCCUUUUCUUCACCAUGGGCUGAUGGACACUUGGAUGGAAAACUGGAGAGAACCAAGUCUAAAGAAGGGCCCCCUUUAAGACUAUGCCAUGUGGUAACACCAGCAAGACUUUCCUACGUGGGCAGACAUUAAUGAUCUCUUUGUCACAUAGAAGUCUGUGGUGUUAAAAAUACCAUUAUAAUACCACUUUAAACUGAAGCUUCUUAUUUCUUGAAAUGAUAUACUCCAAUCAUGAACCAUAACCAGAGCUGGGGCUUGCAUGUUUGAACAACAUACUGGUGCCACUGAUAACUAAUCCAACAGACAGCUGUAUGUUCUUAUCUCAAAGACUGACCAAUAUUCCUCUGAAAGAACUAACCAUUGCUUAGAAAGGGUGUCUCUUACUGUAAAAAAAUUAUAGUUUAUGAUUAGCACUUCCAGUAUGUCAGUUAUCAGGUUUUGUUAAGACUAAUGAGAACUUGAAAACUCAGAAUAUUAUCAAGAAAUUCAUUGUUUUCCCGAGUAACUUCACUAAUCAUUGUAUAAAAACAUAACUAAAAGCAGCCAUGUGUGUAAAGUGCCUUGAAGCUAGAAAAUACUUAAAUAUCACAUGAGAUUGAUAUUGUCCUUCAACACUGUGGGCAUAAUUAUUCUGUGGUUUGCGAAGGCAAAAGCAAAGUGCGCCACUCAUCACCUAAAGCCUGUACAGGAACUGUGCUGAAGGGUGACAGUCACCUAAUGGCCACAGAGUGGGGGGCUGGAUUUCUCCAAUUGACUUCAAUAGGCUUUGGAUCAGGCACACAGAGCCUUGAAGAUGGAGUAUAUUUUACCCAGAAAAAACACAUUACUGAAGAUAAGGGAGACCCCAUAUGGGGAAGGCAGAGGAGCAAGAGCUACAUAGAUUGGAACAGAAAUUGCUGAGGAGCUGCCCAGAACCUGCUGGAUGUUGAGAGGAGAUCAUCAUGGGACAAAGCAAGGGUCAGCUCCUGCUCCCAUGCAGUCUACAGGGAUUGCGACAUUGACUUCAACAGCAGGAGAACUGAGCUAUGAGCUAACAUUGAUAAUAUUGCACAAGUAGUGAUUGCAUGGAAACUUUCUCCCUUUAAAUUUUCCAUGGAUGGUAGCUUGCUAUGUAUUCUUGUAAGUGCUAUGUGCUAUGAACAUUUUCACAUUUCCUUGUAAGAUAUUUAGGAUCUGUCACAAAAAAAUCAAAAAGACACAAAUAUUCUAACACUUUAAAAAUAUUGUUUGAAAAGGGUUUUCACAGAGUUAAGAAACUGAAGAAUUCCUCGAUUCACAAGUACAGGUACUUUAGUGAAAAUGCCAGUUCCUGUGAUCCUGCAAUGCCAGACUUGUUGUAGUAUUGCCUAGUGUUAACCAAAAAUAUUUGCUAGAUUUUUUACAGGCAUUGAAAAGCAUUAUCUUAUUAUUAUUAAUUAUUAUUGUUGUUGUUUAUGGUUUAUUAUUAAAGUUGUUAUUAUAAGAUCUAAGAUUAAAGAUUUUGCAGUUAGUAAUAUCUUUAGGUAAUAAAUCAAAGAGCCCUCACCACAUUUACUACACAAUAUCAAAUAUCUAGGUGCCACAUCGUGUAAUCUAUCUAUCUUUCUUUCUUUCUUUCUGAAAUGCUAAAAUAUCAGAGAGUUGAUGACAGAGAAGAAAUGUUAGUACUGUAAUCAUAAAAGUUUUAACCCUUAUCUUUCAUCAUCUAACACUCAUUUACUCUCAGGUGCCCCAUUUUCCUUCUACAAAAAUCUCCUGUACAUACCAAGGUGAUGAACACAGUAUAAAUUCCUGAAUAGACUGAUAAGAUUUAAUUAGAUAGAUACUUUUGUUCUACUAUACUUCCAAUGAUAGAUAGGAUCAUGCUACUUAAAUAAACAGACCUAUGAAAAGAACAGAAAACUCAAGACCUUUACAUAUGCUUUCCAAAACUGUGAAUGUUUAACAAAUUUCACUUUGCAUGAAAAAUAAAAUAGCAAAAGGCUUGAAUAUACACAUCUGCUUUAUCAGUACAUUAAAAAACAUUCGCAGUAUGUAUGCUUUCA